UCAUCAUCAAAGCAAAUGGAAGAACAGCCAGAAGGAUCAUAUUCUUCAUUCUCUGAUAAAGAAAUAGAAACUGAUGAGACUAUUAUUUGUGAGGUAGGUGAAGAAAUGGUUGAAGAAGUGUCAACUGAGGCAUUCUUUCCAAAGAAAAAUUCUGGAUUUUUGUCAAUUGGAGGCAUCAAAUUAUUCACCCAAGAUCUUUCUGGUGGGGAAAGUGAUGGAGAGUUAGAAGAUGAUGAAGUUUCUGAAUCUUCUGAACUAGGGGAGCCGACUGGACUGUCUGAUAAUGAUGUCUCUGAUAAUAUGUCUGAAAGUGAUUCAGAUAUUGAUGAAGAAGUUGCAGAAGACUACUUAGAUGGAAUUGGUGGGAGUGACAACAUGUUAGAUGCCAAAUGGUUGGUAGAAAAUCAUUUAGAUGGCUCAAAUGAGGAUAGUUCUUCAUCUUGUGGUUCCUUUGAUGAGACUCUAG
rnacentral:misc_RNA from 1 species